rnacentral:miRNA from 1 species
CUGACUGCCGCCCCCCGCAGG